UACGGGAGGCAGCAGUAAGGAAUAUUGGUCAAUGGAGGGAACUCUGAACCAGCCAUUCCGCGUGAAGGAUGACGGCCCUCUGGGUUGUAAACUUCUUUAGUCUGGGAAGAAAAGUUUGCAUUUAUGCGAAUCUGACGGUACCAGAAGAAUAAGCACCGGCUAACUUCGUGCCAGCAGCCGCGGUAAUA
rnacentral:rRNA from 1 species